UACAGGAGGGUGCAAACGUUGCUCGGAAUCAUUGGGCGUAAAAGCGCACGUAGGCGGCCCAGCAAGUGGGGAGUGAAAGCCCUCGGCUUAACCGAGGAAGUGCUUUCCAAACUACUGGGCUUGAAUACUGGAGAGGGUCGCGGAAUUCCCGGUGUAGAGGUGAAAUUCGUAGAUAUCGGGAGGAACACCAGUGGCGAAGGCGGCCGACCUGGACAGAUAUUGACGCUGAGGUGACGAAAGCGUGGGGAGCAAACAGG
rnacentral:rRNA from 1 species